rnacentral:rRNA from 1 species
UACGUAGGGUGCAAGCGUUGUCCGGAAUUAUUGGGCGUAAAGAGCUCGUAGGCGGUCUGUCGCGUUUGCUGUGAAAACCUAGGGCUUAACUCUGGGCGUGCAGUGGGUACGGGCAGGCUAGAGUGCGGGUAGGGGAGACUGGAAUUCCUGGUGUAGCGGUGAAAUGCGCAGAUAUCAGGAGGAACACCGGUGGCGAAGGCGGCAUCCUGGACCAUUACUGACGCUGAGGAGCGAAAGCCAGGGGAGCAAACGGG